AGCUCCAAUAGCGUAUAUUAAAGUUGUUGCAGUUAAAAAGCUCGUAGUUGAACUUUGGGCUUGGUUGGCCGGUCCGCCUUUUUGGCGAGUACUGGACCCAACCGAGCCUUUCCUUCUGGCUAACCAUUCGCCCUUGUGGUGUUUGGCGAACCAGGACUUUUACUUUGAAAAAAUUAGAGUGUUCAAAGCAGGCCUUUGCUCGAAUAUAUUAGCAUGGAAUAAUAGAAUAGGACGUUAUGGUUCUAUUUUGUUGGUUUCUAGGACCAUCGUAAUGAUUAAUAGGGACGGUCGGGGGCAUCAGUAUUCAGUUGUCAGAGGUGAAAUUCUUAGAUUUACUGAAGACUAACUACUGCGAAAGCAUUUGCCAAGGACGUUUUCAUUA
rnacentral:rRNA from 1 species